rnacentral:lncRNA from 1 species
UGCUGGCAGCUGUCUGGUCUCUUCCCCUUUCACAGUUUGCACCCCAGCCUCAGCUCCUGGGCCUCAUCCCCAUCCUCCACUAAGCACAGCUUGGACUCCAGCUUGGCCUGGCAUCCAAGGUUCUUCACAGCCCGCACUUGUCCCUUGGAGGGUUGCUGUGAGUAGAGCUGAGACUUCUUGGCAGUCCACUGCCAGGCAGGCAGUAGCUUGUUAACCAUGCCGUCACCUCACAGCCCAAUCGUGGCAGCCUGCUUUGGCCACACACACCUUCUUUGCAUUGACCCCUAUUUCCUGCAAGACUUUAUGUUCCUGCCACUGAGGACCCGAUCCCCAUAGACCAUCCACAUCUUACAGGCAGGGAAGGCCAAGUUCAUUCCAUCCUUUCCCAGCUACUCUCCCCUCUUGCACCCAGGGCGCUUGCUCUCAGGAACAUUUUUACUGGGAAAUUUUUAACUUUCUCCAACUACCUUUUCUGUGGCUUCUUUCCGUCUUUGUCAUGCCAUCACUCCCCACUGUUUCCAGGCUUUGUCCCGGGGUGACACUGCAUGCCCCAGCCCAGCAUGAUCACACCUGGGCAGCACGAUCUCAUCUGUUUCCCUGCUUCCUCCGCCCCUCCUUGGUGUUGUGUAUGCAGGUUUAAUGAACCCUGAAGCACUUUUACAACCUGAACUCACUCGAGGUUAUUUAUGUCUAAGUUUCUAACUAGAAACCCGGCCUCCUUCCUUGGACCAAUCCUGGGUUUCUCCAGAGCCCUUGGCUGAACCUCAGUAACAGAGCCCUGAGGCUGACCUUUCCCCACUGGCAUUCCUCUUGCCAGGCCUUGCCAGGCCUUGAGGGACGGGGACAGUGCUGCUACAGCAGCAGAAAUGAACGUGAGGAGAGGGGGUGGGGCAAGCACAGCCCUGUCACAAUGUGAUGGAGUAAAUGGCUUGCUUUCCCACCCCAGGUGUCUUAAGACAGGUGGGCAGGCC